rnacentral:rRNA from 1 species
CUUUCUUUGCUGGCGACCGGCGCACGGGUGAGUAGCACGUAUCCAACCUGCCUUUACUCGGGGAUAGCCUUUCGAAAGAAAGAUUAAUACCCGAUAGUAUAAUGAUUCCGCAUGGUUUCAUUAUUAAAGGAUUCCGGUAAAGGAUGGGGAUGCGUUCCAUUAGGUUGUUGGUGAGGUAACGGCUCACCAAGCCUUCGAUGGAUAGGGGUUCUGAGAGGAAGGUCCCCCACAUUGGAACUGAGACACGGUCCAA